UACAGAGGUGGCAAGCGUUGUUCGGAAUUACUGGGCGUAAAGCGCGUGUAGGCGGCAGCGCAAGUCGGGCGUGAAAUCCCACGGCUCAACCGUGGAAGUGCACUCGAAACUGCGCAGCUAGAGUCCUGGAGAGGAAGGUGGAAUGCUUGGUGUAGAGGUGAAAUUCGUAGAUAUCAAGCGGAACACCGGUGGCGAAGGCGGCCUUCUGGACAGUGACUGACGCUGAGACGCGAAAGCGUGGGGAGCGAACAGG
rnacentral:rRNA from 1 species